ACACGUAGGGGGCGAGCGUUGUCCGGAAUUACUGGGCGUAAAGGGUGCGUAGGUGGCACUUUAAGUUGGAUGUGAAAUCCCCGUGCUUAACAUGGGAGCUGCAUCCAAUACUGGAGAGCUAGAGUGCAGGAGAGGUAAGCGGAAUUCCUAGUGUAGCGGUGAAAUGCGUAGAUAUUAGGAGGAACACCAGUGGCGAAGGCGGCUUACUGGACUGUAACUGACACUGAGGCACGAAAGCGAGGGGAGCAAACAGGAUUAGAUACCCUGGUAGUCCACGCUGUAAACGAUGAAUACUAGGUGUAGGGGGUAUCAACUCCCUCUGUGCCGCAGCAAACGCAAUAAGUAUUCCGCCUGGGGAGUACGGCCGCAAGGUUGAAACUCAAAUGAAUUGACGGGG
rnacentral:rRNA from 1 species